AACGAACGCUGGCGGCAUGCCUAACACAUGCAAGUCGAACGCUCCUAGCAAUAGGGGAGUGGCGGACGGGUGAGUAGCGCGUGGGAACCUGCCCAGGAGUGUGGGAUAACCGAGGGAAACUUCGGCUAAUACCGCAUACGGCGCUCUGUCGUGGAGAUGGGGUGCGAAAGAUUUAUCGCUCUUGGAGGGGCCCGCGUCGGAUUAGCUAGUUGGUGAGGUAACGGCUCACCAAGGCGAUGAUCCGUAGCUGGUCUGAGAGGAUGAUCAGCC
rnacentral:rRNA from 1 species